ensembl:rRNA 5S_rRNA 5S ribosomal RNA
GCUUACGGCCAUACCAGCCGAAGAUCGCCGGUCUCGUCUGAUCUCGGAAGCUAUGAUGGCUUGGGCGUGGUUAGUACUUGCAUGGGAGACUGCCUGGGAAUACCAGGUGCUGUAAGCU